ACGCUCGACACCUACGGCAGCAGUGGGGAAUAUUGCACAAUGGAGGAAACUCUGAUGCAGCGACGCCGCGUGAGGGAAGAAGGUCUUCGGAUUGUAAACCUCUGUUGUCAGGGACGAUGAUGACGGUACCUGACGAGGAAGCCACGGCUAACUACGUGCCAGUAGCCGCCGGUAAUCUGAGCGGGCGUGGCGAAGGCG
rnacentral:rRNA from 1 species